CAAAGUGCUGGGAUUAUAGGCAUGAACCACUGCAUUUGGCCUGAAUGGUGUUUUUGAAAAUGAAAAUGAAACACCAAACCCAGCAAGGUUUGACGGGGAAGGCGAACUGGCGACCACAUAGUCACCUUUGGCCUUUGGUUCUGCUUUUUGCUGCAGUUUCUCACUGUCACUUCCUGCCACUGGGCUCCUCCCCCUGUGAAAACUCAGCCCCCUCUUCCUCAGUUCCCCCUUUGCAACAGAACGAGGCUGGCAUUUUCUAAAGCAUUCUCGGGGAGUCCAGUUCCUAAAAGAUUAUUUCAAAGUCCACUGUUAUGGGCUGACUUGAGUGCUCUCAAAAUUCGUAAGUUGAAGCCCUGACCCCCAGGACCUCAGAACGUGACUGUGCUUGGAGAUAGGGACUUUCCGGAGGUGAUUAAGGUUAAGUGAGGUCACUGGAUGGCCCUGCUCCUAUCUGACUGGUGUCCUGAUGGGGACGUGGGCACCCGCACAGGAAAGGGCCCGGGGAGAACAACACAUUGUCUCCAAGCCAGGGAGAGAGGCGUCCGGGGAGCCCAGCCCUGCCUGCGCAUGUAGCUCUGCCUUCCCGCUCAGAAUCGUGAGGAAAUCCGCUUCUCCUGUGUAAGCCUCCAGUCUGUGGUACUCGGCCGUGGCGCCCCCGGAUCUGCAUUGCCUCCUGCUCUGAGCCACCCGGCCCCACCGGAAGGGCUGAGCUUCUCUCCCUUUCACUGCCUGUGUUCUGGGAAACUUUCAGAAUCCCCAGGCUGUUUCUGGAAUAGUCUGGGGUGGUCAUUUUUGGUCCUCACGGAACCAGAGGUUUGGAAAGGGGGUUGCAGAGAAUCUGGCCCAGCCCAUCACCAUGGUGCCCCCCGUGCUUGUUAUUUAUUCUUCAAUUACCUGGAUAUGCAACUCGGAUUUAAAACAUCAAUUUAACAUACAGAUAAUGCUGGGACUGCAGCUUCGCCAGGUGGCCUUCCUCUCAUGGUCGGGAGGCCUCGCGCCCAUCUUGUCCCCCCAUGGUCAAGGGAAAAGGGCAAAGGUUUUUUGUUUUUUUGUUUUGUUUUGUUUUGUUUUGCAAAAUUCAAACCUUUCCCUCCUUCCCAGGUCUGGGUCACUUGCGACCCUCCUCUCAGGUUGCUUCUGACAGGCCCAGGUCACAGCCAGCUUCAGGGGAGCUGUUGGGUCCUUCCGAACUCCUGGAAUGAUGUGACCUCUCCGGCUCUGGCCCCGGCCCCGGGCCUCCAGGUGUCCAAGGCGGGGUGUGCAGAGUCGAGGUUUCCGCACACCUGAGGGACUCUCGUGUGAGGACAGCGCAGGGCUGGAAGCUGGACUGCGGAAGGCGAAUGAGACAGCACUGCUGGCUCCCUCCGCGCCACGGACUGGCUCCUGUGCAGUCUCAGGGGCGAGUGUGCUGUUGUCAUGUGCGUGUUUUAACUGAGAUGUGAGCUGGCACGUUUUCUCCACCCAGCUCCAUCCUGGGUCGCCCCACGUUGCUGCACAUGUGGCUCCGGUGCCCUGGGGUCCCCACUGUGGCAGCCCUGCAUUUCGCCCACCUGCUUCCCAAAAUAUGGAAUCCCAGUGACCUCCAACUUGUCGCCAUGACAAACCACUCUCAUAUCCUCAAACAUGGCGCUCUGAGCCUAAAUGAGGGUUUCCUUAGAGAGAGAUCUGGGGACCGAACCGUAGGGACAGAGCUCCUGUCUAAGCUGGGCCUGUGGUGAGGUCUUCCCGGCGGUACACUUGAAUCCCACAGCAGGGCUUGCUGGCCACCCUGCUGCAUCCCCGCCAACGCCGGGCAGGAUCUAGCCUCCAAAGCUUUGCCGGUCUAAUAGUAUAAAACGAUACCUCGGUGUU